rnacentral:rRNA from 1 species
GAUGAACGCUGGCGGCGUGCCUAAUACAUGCCAGUCGAGCGAACAGAUGAGGAGCUUGCUCCUCUGACGUUAGCGGCGGACGGGUGAGUAACACGUGGAUAACCUACCUAUAAGACUGGGAUAACUUCGGGAAACCGGAGCUAAUACCGGAUAAUAUAUUGAACCGCAUGGUUCAAUAGUGAAAGACGGUUUUGCUGUCACUUAUAGAUGGAUCCGCGCCGCAUUAGCUAGUUGGUAAGGUAACGGCUUACCAAGGCAACGAUGCGUAGCCGACCUGAGAGGGUGAUCGGCCACACUGGAACUGAGACACGGUCCAGACUCCUACGGGAGGCAGCAGUAGGGAAUCUUCCGCAAUGGGCGAAAGCCUGACGGAGCAACGCCGCGUGAGUGAUGAAGGUCUUCGGAUCGUAAAACUCUGUUAUUAGGGAAGAACAAAUGUGUAAGUAACUAUGCACGUCUGGACGGUACCUAAUCAGAAAGCCACGGCUAACUACGU